AGAGUUUGAUCMUGGCUCAGAUUGAACGCUGGCGGCAGGCCUAACACAUGCAAGUCGAGCGGUAGAGAGAAGCUUGCUUCUCUUGAGAGCGGCGGACGGGUGAGUAAUGCCUAGGAAUCUGCCUGGUAGUGGGGGAUAACGUUCGGAAACGGACGCUAAUACCGCAUACGUCCUACGGGAGAAAGCAGGGGACCUUCGGGCCUUGCGCUAUCAGAUGAGCCUAGGUCGGAUUAGCUAGUUGGUGGGGUAAUGGCUCACCAAGGCGACGAUCCGUAACUGGUCUGAGAGGAUGAUCAGUCACACUGGAACUGAGACACGGUCCAGACUCCUACGGGAGGCAGCAGUGGGGAAUAUUGGACAAUGGGCGAAAGCCUGAUCCAGCCAUGCCGCGUGUGUGAAGAAGGUCUUCGGAUUGUAAAGCACUUUAAGUUGGGAGGAAGGGCAGUUACCUAAUACGUAAUUGUUUUGACGUUACCGACAGAAUAAGCACCGGCUAACUCUGUGCCAGCCGCCGCGGUAAUAC
rnacentral:rRNA from 1 species